UGUUAUCAGCAAGGAGACGCUGGGGAGAUGAAAGCAGUCUCAAUCAACAAACUAUGUUGAUUGAUUAACUGCCGUGCAGGCCAAAAGGGUGCAGAUAAUUAUUACCUUUGAUAUCCGACUCCAAGGCUCUCCUAUCAAUAUCCAGGAGCUGUGAGGGUGGUGCCUUCUUGGAUCCUUGAUCAGCAUGAAAGAGGGAGCCUGCCUGGCAUUCCUGGUCUUUUGUACCUCCCAGGCAUCUUCUAGACGAUGUGAUCUCCUACAUGAAUAGUGAAUAACAACUGAAGAUGCCGUUUGCCUUAGAGGAAACAUUUCUUCAGAGGUUCCAUAUUGUGAGAAACCACCAUACAGGGAGACUGCAUAUUGAUAUGAAGAGGCAUCACUAGAAGGACAUUAACCAAACGAGUUACCGACUGGGAAAAAGAAACCUUUAUGAGCUUCAAACAUCUUGAUUCUACGUGAGUACGGUGUGUACCCAAAGAAAAAUAACACCCACUUCCCCACUCACCAAAGAUACCUUUAUAUGAGGAUUUGCUUACAUAUUAUCGUAAGUUUGGUACGCCGAAAUUGCAUUCACUGUUCAGAAUAUCCCCAGCCCCCUUUUAUCAUCAAGUUUUGGUUGAGACAUACUACACCAUUAGUCUCUCUGUUAUUUGUAUCUCCGAGGAAAUCACCUACCAGUUUUGGAAGAUCUCCCCCUCUUCACGGACAUCCACCCCAUGGACUCUUGAUGGGAAAAGAAACCUUUAUGAAUACCGAUCUUCCCUUGUCGACUGCACGUCUGUGGAAUUAUCUGAGUUGGAUAUUGGAACUGAACACUUCAUUCUGGUUGUUAAACAGCGAGAUUACAAGAGGAGAGCGCUGCAAGGCAGCCAGGAAUGCAGUCCAUUAGAGAUGACAGACCUGGAGCCGAGAGCUACAUUUGAAGUGUCAUCUGCAUAGACAUGAUACGAUGAUUCUGGAACCCCAAGGACCGACCAUAGCUAUAUGUAUUGAUAAGGAAAAUGUUAAAUUCAAGAACAAAGCCUUGGAACUAAUUCUAGAACAGGAAAUGGUCUGACCGAAGAGAUAUAAACUAGUAUCCUAUUUAUUUAAAAAUAACAGUUACCUGUACAGUGACCCCAGCCCCACUCAAGUUCAGAGAAUGCGUCUCACCUUCACUGUGUCGGUCAAACAAUGUGGGGCCUUAUCUUUUGUAUCCACUUUUCUAAAAACAUCCCGAGCCUUUCAUGUUUAUUUAUAACCGUAAGUGAUGUUUAAAAAGUUUAACAUUUCAUUUGUGUUUAUCUUUUCCUGCGUCCUAUUUAAGUCAUUUCACAUGAAUUAAUUUAUUGAAAAAUAAAUAAAUAAAGCCGCCGACUUAUCCAGAUGGAUAAAUGUAAAAUCUUCAUAUGCUUUGAGGAGUCUAAUGCAGUUUUGCAUAUUUUCAUAUCAGAAUCUUUAACAAACACAACACAUUCAGUCUACUGUAAACCAAAUGUAUAGUUAUUUUUUUUCCAAACAGAUGCAUAGCCCCGAUUGCAGACUACAGCUGCAUUGUUUUACUGGUUUAAAUCAAAUUAUGCUUUACAUGUAAAUAAUAUAAGCAGAAAUGCAGAGGAACUAGGACGUACUUAACAAACUAAAGCCUAUUAGAAAUUUUGGUACAUAUAUUCUAAUUAAUGUACUCUUAUAAACACUAAAUAAUGGCUGUUCAAACAAAGUAACCUCAUUAUUUUACACAAAACGUAUAACCCUACAACAUGUUUGCACGGAAUUAAAGCCACAUAUUUCAUUGUGCUUCUCUUGCCAUCUGUUAUACUCAUCUGUUCUUAUUCUAUUAUGCCUAUGUAUUAUUAAAUUGCAAAUGAGUCAAGAGUAGACAUCUGCGGACAGUUAGUAGUUAAUAUCCUGACAUACAGCUAGAAUUGUAAUUAAUUAAAUUUAGCUGCUGUGUGUGUUUGUAAUCGUAUAAUGAAGACACAUCUGCAUAAUUGCAUAUUAAAAAUCUACUUGAAUCAAACCCU